CGGGCUUUUUGCCGGAGUACUGGGGGCGGUUCGGGUAAGCCCGCGGGCUUGCGGGCUUACCCGAACCGCGCGGACCACUAGUACCUUACGCACAGGUUGAUCUCGAACACUCGUAUUCCUAGGUUUACUGGUAAUCGUUCCAUAUUGCAAUCAUGUUCGCUCGCGUUUUAAUACAUUUCGUUUUUUCUAUAAUGAUCGUCCACGUAUGUACAGGGUUGAAUAUGACUCAAUCGGAGUACAAGUCUCACGGAGGACCAAAAAUAUGUGAUAAAACCGGCUUUGACACAAUUUGUUCAAACAACUUCUCAAGCGCAACAUCAGGCUCAUGCGGUGGUCACUAUAUAAGAUUUAAUGGUAAUGAUAUUAUAGAAACCAUUCUAGCUUGCAGGAAUUCCGGUUAUGUCACUGUAGGAUGCGUCUACACCUACGACGGAGCCAUUAGAACUACUGGUGUUGACCUAGGUAUCUGUGUUUAAAAUACGAGGUAGGUGCAGUAAAACAAAGAGAAGUUAUUUCUAUGUACCACUGACGAAGGAACCCAAUUUUUUUUUUAAUUUAAUUAUAUUUACGUACACAUACAUAUUAAUCAAAUUUAGUCGUAAGUUUUCCAGUAGAGUAGAGUAGUAUCAAUUGAUUAUUUUAAUUCGUUGAAAUUAUGUAUCUGCGAGUGUAAUUUUAUUGAUUUAUUUUAUUGUUAAGUAUUUAUUUUAUUUCUCAUUUAAAUAUAUUUUACGAGCAUCCCA